GAUGAACGCUGGCGGCGUGCCUAAUACAUGCAAGUCGAGCGAACAGACGAGGAGCUUGCUCCUCUGACGUUAGCGGCGGACGGGUGAGUAACACGUGGAUAACCUACCUAUAAGACUGGGAUAACUUCGGGAAACCGGAGCUAAUACCGGAUAAUAUAUUGAACCGCAUGGUUCAAUAGUGAAAGACGGUUUUGCUGUCACUUAUAGAUGGAUCCGCGCCGCAUUAGCUAGUUGGUAAGGCAACGGCUUACCAAGGCAACGAUGCGUAGCCGACCUGAGAGGGUGAUCGGCCACACUGGAACUGAGACACGGUCCAGACUCCUACGGGAGGCAGCAGUAGGGAAUCUUCCGCAAUGGGCGAAAGCCUGACGGGGCAACGCCGCGUGAGUGAUGAAGGUCUUCGGAUCGUAAAACUCUGUUAUUAGGGAAGAACAAAUGUGUAAGUAACUAUGCACGUCUUGACGGUACCUAAUCAGAAAGCCACGGCUAACUACGUG
rnacentral:rRNA from 1 species